AUGAAUUUAAUUCCGAAAAUCUCUACUGUCAAAGGCACCAAGUGCCAAGUAUGUGUGCAAGCUAAGCAACCUCGCAAGUCCCAUAAGACUGCAGAUGCAAGAGACUUGGCGCCACUUGAGCUUAUACAUUCUGAUCUUUGUGAGAUGAAUGGCGUGUUGACAAAAGGUGGAAAGAGAUACUUCAUGAUGUUGAUUUAUGACUCCACUAGAUAUUGUUAUGUGUAUCUUCUGAAAUCAAAAGAUGAGGCUUUGACUUUCUUUAAAAACUAUAAAGCUGAGGCAGAGAACCAACUUGAUCGAAAAAUUAAACGGCUUAGGUCCGAUCGUGGUGGAGAGUAUUUUUCCAAUGAAUUUGAUCUGUUUUGUGCGAAACAUGGUAUAAUCCAUGAGAGGACACCUCCCUACUCACCCCAGUCAAAUGGGGUAGCCGAAAGAAAGAACCGAACUCUAACUGAUAUGGUUAACACCAUGUUAGACACUUCGGGUCUAUCCAAGGAAUGGUGGGGGGAGGCGCUAAUGACUGCGUGUCAUGUCCUAAACCGAGUUCCCACAAAGCAUAAGACCAUGACUCCAUUUGAGGAAUGGGAAAGGAAAAGGUUGAAACUCUCUUACCUACGUACUUGGGGUUGUUUGGCGAAAGUCAAUAUACCAAUUCCCAAGAAGCGCAAGCUUGGACCAAAAACCGUGGAUUGUGUUCUUCUGGGCUUUGCUUUUCAUAGCAUCGGCUAUAGAUUUUUGAUAAUAAAAUCUGAGGUAUCCGACAUGCAUGUUGGUACGAUUAUGGAAUCAAAUGAUGCAACUUUCUUUGAGGACAUAUUUCCUACGAAGGAUACGUCGAGUUCAUCAAAUCAGGAGAUACCUACUCCAUCUAGUGAGGAAUUCACUGUAAUUCCUGAACCCACCAUUGCAAUGGAACACGUUGAGAAUCCUGUUGAGGGUAACAAUGGAACUCCUAUGAGGAGUAAGAGACAGAGGACUGCAAAGUCUUUUGGUGAUGAUUUCAUUGUGUACCUCGUGGAUGACACACCCAGGACUAUUUCAGAUGCCUAUGCAUCUCCUCAUGCUGACUACAAGAAGGAAGCUGGACGUAGCAAGAUGGAUUCCAUCUUAUCUAACGGUACCUGGGAGAUCACUGACCGUCCUUAUGGGUGCAAACCUGUAGGAUGUAAGUGGGUGUUCAAGAAGAGGCUUAGACCUGAUGGUACGAUUGAAAAGUACAAGGCACGGCUUGUGGCCAAGGGUUAUACCCAGAAAGAACGUGAAGACUUCUUUGAUACUUACUCACCCGUGGCUAGACUGGCCACAAUUCGGGUGCUACUAUCACUGGCUGCCUCACAUGGUCUUCUCGUUCAUCAAAUGGACGUUAAGACGGCUUUCCUCAAUGGAGAGUUGAAGGAGGAAAUUUACAUGGAUCAGCCAGAUGGUUUUGUAGUACCUGGUCAAGAAGGAAAGGUGUGCAAGUUAUUAAAGUCUUUAUAUGGCCUUAAACAAGCUCAUAAGGAGUGGCAUGAGAAGUUCAAAAGAACAUUAACUGCUGCCAGCUUUGUAGUAAACGAUGGUGACAAGUGCGUGUACUAUCGCUAUGGCGGGGGCGAAGGAGUUAUUCUUUGUCUGUAUGUCGACGACAUAUUGAUCUUUGGAACCAAACUUGAUUUGAUCAAGGAGGUUAAGGAUUUCUUAUCUCGCUAUUUUGAGAUGAAGGAUCUAGGAGUAGCUGAUGUUAUCUCAAACAUCAAGCUGUUGAGAGAUGAGAAUGGUGGGGUCACACUGCUUCAGCUCAUUAUGUGGAAAAGGUCUUGA
rnacentral:rRNA from 1 species